UACCCGCAGCUCAAGUGGUGGUCAUUAUUAUUGGGCCUAAAGCGUCCGUAGCUGGCUUGUUAGAUGCCUGGGUAAAUCGAUGCGCUCAACGUAUCGAAUUCCGGGUAGACCGGCAAGCUUGGGACCGGGAGAGGCAUGGGCUACUCGCGGGGUAGGGGUAAAAUCCUGUAAUCCUGCGGGGAGGACCAGUGGCGAAGGCGCCAUGCUAGAACGGCUCCGACAGUGAGGGACGAAGCCCUGGGGCGCAAACCGG
rnacentral:rRNA from 1 species